rnacentral:rRNA from 1 species
GGUUAAGCGACUAAGCGUACACGGUGGAUGCCCUGGCAGUCAGAGGCGAUGAAGGACGUGCUAAUCUGCGAUAAGCGUCGGUAAGGUGAUAUGAACCGUUAUAACCGGCGAUUUCCGAAUGGGGAAACCCAGUGUGAUUCGUCACACUAUCAUUAACUGAAUCCAUAGGUUAAUGAGGCGAACCGGGGGAACUGAAACAUCUAAGUACCCCGAGGAAAAGAAAUCAACCGAGAUUCCCCCAGUAGCGGCGAGCGAACGGGGAGCAGCCCAGAGCCUGAAUCAGUGUGUGUGUUAGUGGAAGCGUCUGGAAAGGCGCGCGAUACAGGGUGACAGCCCCGUACACAAAAAUGCACAUACUGUGAGCUCGAUGAGUAGGGCGGGACACGUGGUAUCCUGUCUGAAUAUGGGGGGACCAUCCUCCAAGGCUAAAUACUCCUGACUGACCGAUAGUGAACCAGUACCGUGAGGGAAAGGCGAAAAGAACCCCGGCGAGGGGAGUGAAAAAGAACCUGAAACCGUGUACGUACAAGCAGUGGGAGCCUCUUAAUGGGGUGACUGCGUACCUUUUGUAUAAUGGGUCAGCGACUUAUAUUCUGUAGCAAGGUUAACCGAAUAGGGGAGCCGAAGGGAAACCGAGUCUUAACUGGGCGUUAAGUUGCAGGGUAUAGACCCGAAACCCGGUGAUCUAGCCAUGGGCAGGUUGAAGGUUGGGUAACACUAACUGGAGGACCGAACCGACUAAUGUUGAAAAAUUAGCGGAUGACUUGUGGCUGGGGGUGAAAGGCCAAUCAAACCGGGAGAUAGCUGGUUCUCCCCGAAAGCUAUUUAGGUAGCGCCUCGUGAAUUCAUCUCCGGGGGUAGAGCACUGUUUCGGCAAGGGGGUCAUCCCGACUUACCAACCCGAUGCAAACUGCGAAUACCGGAGAAUGUUAUCACGGGAGACACACGGCGGGUGCUAACGUCCGUCGUGAAGAGGGAAACAACCCAGACCGCCAGCUAAGGUCCCAAAGUCAUGGUUAAGUGGGAAACGAUGUGGGAAGGCCCAGACAGCCAGGAUGUUGGCUUAGAAGCAGCCAUCAUUUAAAGAAAGCGUAAUAGCUCACUGGUCGAGUCGGCCUGCGCGGAAGAUGUAACGGGGCUAAACCAUGCACCGAAGCUGCGGCAGCGACGCUUAUGCGUUGUUGGGUAGGGGAGCGUUCUGUAAGCCUGCGAAGGUGUGCUGUGAGGCAUGCUGGAGGUAUCAGAAGUGCGAAUGCUGACAUAAGUAACGAUAAAGCGGGUGAAAAGCCCGCUCGCCGGAAGACCAAGGGUUCCUGUCCAACGUUAAUCGGGGCAGGGUGAGUCGACCCCUAAGGCGAGGCCGAAAGGCGUAGUCGAUGGGAAACAGGUUAAUAUUCCUGUACUUGGUGUUACUGCGAAGGGGGACGGAGAAGGCUAUGUUGGCCGGGCGACGGUUGUCCCGGUUUAAGCGUGUAGGCUGGUUUUCCAGGCAAAUCCGGAAAAUCAAGGCUGAGGCGUGAUGACGAGGCACUACGGUGCUGAAGCAACAAAUGCCCUGCUUCCAGGAAAAGCCUCUAAGCAUCAGGUAACAUCAAAUCGUACCCCAAACCGACACAGGUGGUCAGGUAGAGAAUACCAAGGCGCUUGAGAGAACUCGGGUGAAGGAACUAGGCAAAAUGGUGCCGUAACUUCGGGAGAAGGCACGCUGAUAUGUAGGUGAAGUCCCUUGCGGAUGGAGCUGAAAUCAGUCGAAGAUACCAGCUGGCUGCAACUGUUUAUUAAAAACACAGCACUGUGCAAACACGAAAGUGGACGUAUACGGUGUGACGCCUGCCCGGUGCCGGAAGGUUAAUUGAUGGGGUUAGCGGUAACGCGAAGCUCUUGAUCGAAGCCCCGGUAAACGGCGGCCGUAACUAUAACGGUCCUAAGGUAGCGAAAUUCCUUGUCGGGUAAGUUCCGACCUGCACGAAUGGCGUAAUGAUGGCCAGGCUGUCUCCACCCGAGACUCAGUGAAAUUGAACUCGCUGUGAAGAUGCAGUGUACCCGCGGCAAGACGGAAAGACCCCGUGAACCUUUACUAUAGCUUGACACUGAACAUUGAGCCUUGAUGUGUAGGAUAGGUGGGAGGCUUUGAAGUGUGGACGCCAGUCUGCAUGGAGCCGACCUUGAAAUACCACCCUUUAAUGUUUGAUGUUCUAACGUUGGCCCCUAAUCGGGGUUGCGGACAGUGUCUGGUGGGUAGUUUGACUGGGGCGGUCUCCUCCUAAAGAGUAACGGAGGAGCACGAAGGUUGGCUAAUCCUGGUCGGACAUCAGGAGGUUAGUGCAAUGGCAUAAGCCAGCUUGACUGCGAGCGUGACGGCGCGAGCAGGUGCGAAAGCAGGUCAUAGUGAUCCGGUGGUUCUGAAUGGAAGGGCCAUCGCUCAACGGAUAAAAGGUACUCCGGGGAUAACAGGCUGAUACCGCCCAAGAGUUCAUAUCGACGGCGGUGUUUGGCACCUCGAUGUCGGCUCAUCACAUCCUGGGGCUGAAGUAGGUCCCAAGGGUAUGGCUGUUCGCCAUUUAAAGUGGUACGCGAGCUGGGUUUAGAACGUCGUGAGACAGUUCGGUCCCUAUCUGCCGUGGGCGCUGGAGAACUGAGGGGGGCUGCUCCUAGUACGAGAGGACCGGAGUGGACGCAUCACUGGUGUUCGGGUUGUCAUGCCAAUGGCACUGCCCGGUAGCUAAAUGCGGAAGAGAUAAGUGCUGAAAGCAUCUAAGCACGAAACUUGCCCCGAGAUGAGUUCUCCCUGACUCCCUGAGAGUCCUGAAGGAACGUUGAAGACGACGACGUUGAUAGGCCGGGUGUGUAAGCGCAGCGAUGCGUUGAGCUAACCGGUACUAAUGAACCGUGAGGCUUAACCUU